CCUACGGGAGGCUGCAGUGGGGAAUAUUGGACAAUGGGCGAAAGCCUGAUCCAGCCAUGCCGCGUGUGUGAAGAAGGCCUUCGGGUUGUAAAGCACUUUCAGUGGGGAAGAAAGCCUUGGGGCUAAUACCCUCGAGGAAGGACAUCACCCACAGAAGAAGCACCGGCUAACUCCGUGCCAGCAGCCGCGGUAAUACGGAGGGUGCGAGCGUUAAUCGGAAUUACUGGGCGUAAAGCGCGCGUAGGCGGUCUGAUAAGCCGGUUGUGAAAGCCCCGGGCUCAACCUGGGAACGGCAUCCGGAACUGUCAGGCUAGAGUGCAGGAGAGGAAGGUAGAAUUCCCGGUGUAGCGGUGAAAUGCGUAGAGAUCGGGAGGAAUACCAGUGGCGAAGGCGGCCUUCUGGACUGACACUGACGCUGAGGUGCGAAAGCGUGGGUAGCAAACAGGAUUAGAUACCGUGUAGUC
rnacentral:rRNA from 1 species